rnacentral:lncRNA from 1 species
AGCUUUUGUCUGGGAGCAAUUCUUGGAUUUAUUUGAGCUCAAUUCUCUUUAUUUCAGCUUGAUGAGAGCAGAAAACUUUGAGCCUGAAGCUGAAAAGACACGAAGCUCGGGGAGGACCAAAAGCAUUGGAUGGAGAAAUUAGUACUUCAAUUAUGUUGUUUGUGAUAGCUACAGAAGUGUAUUAUUCUCCAGAAAUAAGAAAAAGCUCUGUGCUUUUUCUCAUGGGGCCAUGGAGAACACUUAAAUUGCAGAUUUUCUAAUAGGCUUUCAAUGGAGGAAAAUUGUUGUGGGUGUUCCUUUGAAGGUGUCUUUCUCUAGACCAAAUCUUUCCGUGUUUAUUCAUAUGUAUCUCAGAGAGGUUGACGUAUCAGAAAUGGCUUCGUUUAAGAGGGAAGACACAUCCUAUGGGAAGAGGGUCUGCACUGGAGUGAAAGAUGAAAACCCAAGACUGAAACCCAAUAAAUGAAAAUUUCUCUUGUAGCUCUCAGAGAGAAAAAUAUAGAGCACCAUCACUGCCAGCACGUGGAAUACAACCUGUCCCACACCAUUUAUUGGGAAAUCCCCACAGGAAAGGCUCAACAAACACGUCUCUGUUGUCAGUCAUGAGGAAUCCUGAUGAGAAUUGUCCAAGUGUAAAGACAAAACGAAGGAAGGAAGAUGUAAGUCAGUCUUUAGGUCUGAAACCAU